UACUACACUGUUUGACACACACAGGUCAUU
rnacentral:piRNA from 1 species